rnacentral:rRNA from 1 species
UUAGCGGCGGACGGGUGAGUAACACGUGAGUAACCUGCCUUAGACAUUGGGAUAGCCUCGGGAAACCGGGAUUAAUACCAAAUAAAAUCAUAAUGACACAUGUCAUAACGAUCAAAACUCCGGUGGUCUAAGAUGGACUCGCGUCCCAUUAGCUAGUUGGUAGAGUAAAAGCCUACCAAGGCGACGAUGGGUAGCCGGCCUGAGAGGGUGAUCGGCCACACUGGAACUGAGACACGGUCCAG